GAUGAACGCUGGCGGCGUGCUUAACACAUGCAAGUCGAACGAAGCACUUUAUUUGAUUUCCUUCGGGACUGAUUAUUUUGUGACUGAGUGGCGGACGGGUGAGUAACGCGUGGGUAACCUGCCUUGUACAGGGGGAUAACAGUUGGAAACGGCUGCUAAUACCGCAUAAGCGCACGGCAUCGCAUGAUGCAGUGUGAAAAACUCCGGUGGUAUAAGAUGGACCCGCGUUGGAUUAGCUAGUUGGUGAGGUAACGGCCCACCAAGGCGACGAUCCAUAGCCGACCGGAGAGGGUGACCGGUCACAUUGGGACUGAGACACGGACCAAACUCCUACGGGAGGCAGCAGUGGGGAAUAUUGCACAAUGGGCGAAAGCCUGAUGCAGCGACGCCGCGUGAGCGAAGAAGUAUGUCGGUAUGUAAAGCUCUAUCAGCAGGGAAGAUAAUGACGGUACCUGACGAAGAAGCACCGGCUAAAUACGUG
rnacentral:rRNA from 1 species